AUUGAUCGUUUUAACGACUUUUCGCUAGUUAGUAUUGGUGACCCAAAGAAGGCUAGAAAAAAUCUUCGUUUUAUCAACGGCCAUUUUGACAUCAGACCUAGCCGGAGCUGGAUUAAAAAAUGCUCGACGCAGGCAUGGAGGUGCUGGCGGUUUGUUCCAGAUCUGUGCGAGGAACGGCACAGGUAAUAGCCCUUCGUGUAAUCUGCCCGCUCAUCCAAGCUACCACGUCGCUCAUUGAUCGCUUCAAGCCCCAGGCCGCCAAAGCACGGGCUUAUUUCUGGAGCCCCUAAUGAAGGAGGAGGUCCUCAUAUGCAAGAUCCUGGUGCCGAGCGACCAAUUUCUUUUGGCCAAAAGUGUAGUGUAGUGUAGUGUGUCUAGUGAAGUGUAAUAUUGUGUAAAAAGUUUUGAAUAAAA